rnacentral:misc_RNA from 1 species
UUAAGUUCAGGGGGUAUCCCUACCUGAUCUGAGGUCAAACUGAAAAGAUUUGGGUUCUGGCGAGCUUCUCCAACUACAUUACAACGAAUAUGUGCUUACUACGUUGCUAUAGCUUGAGCCACUGCCAAUGAUUUGCAGAAGGGAGGCAUAACCUCUUCUUCCAAUACCAAACGUAAGUUUGAGGAUGAGUUGACGCUCAG